rnacentral:lncRNA from 1 species
UUUGCCUGCUUGCCCUGUGAGACUGAGCAACUGCUAGAUCCUUGGACUUCCAUUCACAGCUGCUGCUGACCAUUGUUGGGAGUUGGACUGCAGACUGAACCCAGGACAGCUGCAGCCACAGCAGGGCGAGGUGUUGGCACACACAACUACAGUCCCAGCUACUUGGAAUUUGGGUCAUGCGAGCCCCAGGAGUUUGAGGUCACACCAGGUAAGGUAAGAAAGCCUACUCGACUACCAGAGGGGUGGAGGGUUCCACUGCAGGGUUCUGGGUGGGUUCCUCACAUGAAAAAAGUCGUUUCCUGGGGUCCAGGAGCUUCACAGAGGAAGUG